GGUCCCCCCCCGGGUUUUUGGGGGUCCCCUCAGAUUUGGGGUGUUUUUUGGGGGGGGUCCCCCCAGGUUUUUGGGGUGUAUUUGGGGGGGGGGUCCCCUCAGAUUUUCACAUUAUUUUGGGGGUCCUCUCAGGCUUGAGGUGUUUUUGGGGAUCCCC